ACGCAAGGCUCAUCAGAUUCGUUAAAAUUUUUGAUUGUAUCCUGCGUAUUACUGCUAGUUAACGUCAUAAUUCUUAGUUCUCUGCUGCCGUAUGCAUCGAUCAAUUAUCUCAGAAGCUUUAAGAAUUUUCGUUGAAGGAGAGGCCCGGUCAAAGAUGGGAUUCCUUAGGCUCAGAACAUUAUCAUCAGAUGUGUUACUGUAGUCGAAAUAUCCUUCGCCUUCGUAUUGCUCCCGUUUAAUUAUGCCCAUCUGUAUCAUAAUAAAAUAAAAAUAUAUUUAAUUGUGUCUAGAUUCAUAGACACAGGUUCUGAAA